rnacentral:rRNA from 1 species
CCUACGGGCGGCUGCAGUGGGGAAUAUUGGACAAUGGGGGCAACCCUGAUCCAGCCAUGCCGCGUGUGUGAAGAAGGCCCUCGGGUUGUAAAGCACUUUCAGUGAGGAAGAACGCCUGGUGGUUAAUACCCAUCAGGAAAGACAUCACUCACAGAAGAAGCACCGGCUAACUCCGUGCCAGCAGCCGCGGUAAUACGGAGGGUGCGAGCGUUAAUCGGAAUUACUGGGCGUAAAGCGCGCGUUGGUGGCUUGAUAAGCCGGUUGUGAAAGCCCCGGGCUCAACCUGGGAACGGCAUCCGGAACUGUCAAGCUAGAGUGCAGGAGAGGAAGGUAGAAUUCCCGGUGUAGCGGUGAAAUGCGUAGAGAUCGGGAGGAAUACCAGUGGCGAAGGCGGCCUUCUGGACUGACACUGACACUGAGGUGCGAAAGCGUGGGUAGCAAACAGGAUUAGAUACCCCUGUAGUC